ACAAAAGCGUUGACGAGGAGGAGUACAUGUUAUUCCGGAUGAACAGAGAGAAGAUGGCUGGUGAAAAUCUUCGUGAUGGGAGCAUGGAAGUAGCCUUUGAGCUUUGGACCGAACAAAGAUAAUAUCUUUUAAGUAGACUCCAACGGAAGUUUCCACCGUUAUCAGGGAAAGCGAUAUCGGAAUUUAUGUAUUCCCGUAUUGUAUUAAGUGCAGAAUUCUAUUCUGAAAUUAGGUGGUACCACGGACACGUUUCGCCCUAAGC
rnacentral:ncRNA from 1 species